UACGAAGGGGGCUAGCGUUGCUCGGAAUUACUGGGCGUAAAGCGUGCGCAGGCGGUUUUGUAAGCCAGAUGUGAAAGCCCCGGGCUUAACCUGGGAAUGGCAUUUGGGACUGCAAGGCUUGAGUGCGGCAGAGGAGACUGGAAUUCCUGGUGUAGCAGUGAAAUGCGUAGAUAUCUGGAGGAACACCGGUGGCGAAGGCGGCAUCCUGGACCGGUAUUGACGCUGAGGCGCGAAAGCCAGGGGAGCAAACGGG
rnacentral:rRNA from 1 species